rnacentral:lncRNA from 1 species
CCCAGAAAAGAUUCAUCUAAAGCGUUGAUCAGAAGAGCCUUCACAACUCUUUCAAAAUGAGUAUAGUGGUCACUAAAAGAAUAAAGAGAAUUCUGUUUUACUAAUUUCAGUUGUGAUGUAGUCAAUUUUUCUCCUUGUUGGUUUUUAUUCUCUUCAUCACCCUCCUCAUCUUGCACUACAAAGUCAUCGAUAAUAUAAUCAUCUCCAUCUUCAUCAGAUUCAUAAUUAUCCUCUUCUUC